UAGCAAAGUAAGUACAUUAUACACUAAUUAGGAUAUAGUUAAACGAUGUGUAUAAGAAAUUAAGUUGCAAUUUAUAUAAUUGUACGCGAAAAUAGAAAUUUUCUUUUUUACAGGUUACGUGUUUCGACAAGUCCAGGUGAGAGAUUUUUUUCGAAUAAAAGCAGGUAAAAAGAGAAGUAUUUUAAUUAAAGAGCGCUCUUCUGUAAAUAGUAGUAGUAGUAGUAGUAAUAGCAGUAGUAGUAGCAGUAGUAUGUAGUAGAAGUAGUCGGGGUAGUAGUAGUAAAUAUUAUGUAUGUAAUAUUUGACAAAUUUUUCUAUUAUUCCAUUAUUAUUCAUUGAUUUGUCUUUUCAUGCUACAUGUUCCCGGACAACUUCUAUUCUCCGGACUCUCCCAGGCUCCCCAAAAAGAGUGUCCAUGGACAACCCAAUGGAUUGUCAAUGGAUUCGUCCCAUGUGUCCCAUGGACUUUUCUUGUUUUUUUCUUAUAUUCUGUAAUAUUCUUACAGCUACAUGUUCCCGGCGUUCCCGGACAACUAUCUUACGGAUACUCCCACGUUACAAAAGCUCGCCAAAGAGAACUAUCAGCAUUUAUGACGAAGGGAAUGGAGAAAAGAAAAGACCGUGCCUUGGAAAACAGAAGUAGGAGAGCAUCCCGUGUCUUGGAAAACAGAAAUUGCAGAGCAUCCCGUGUCUUGGAAUACAGGAGUUGCAGAACAUCUCAAAGACCCAGGACGUCAGAGUUCAACCGCCGAAGGACAAAGUAUCAUACAUGUAAGAUUUAUAUAUAUAAUUUUUAAAUAAAAAAAUAAAAAAUUAA